rnacentral:rRNA from 1 species
CCUACGGGGGGCUGCAGUGGGGAAUAUUGCGCAAUGGGCGAAAGCCUGACGCAGCGACGCCGCGUGAGGGAUGAAGGUUUUCGGAUCGUAAAACUCUGUUGUUAGAGAAGAACAAGGACGUUAGUAACUGAACGUCCCCUGACGGUAUCUAACCAGAAAGCCACGGCUAACUACGUGCCAGCAGCCGCGGUAAUACGUAGGUGGCAAGCGUUGUCCGGAUUUAUUGGGCGUAAAGCGAGCGCAGGCGGUUUCUUAAGUCUGAUGUGAAAGCCCCCGGCUCAACCGGGGAGGGUCAUUGGAAACUGGGAGACUUGAGUGCAGAAGAGGAGAGUGGAAUUCCAUGUGUAGCGGUGAAGUGCGUAGAUAUAUGGAGGAACACCAGUGGCGAAGGCGGCUCUCUGGUCUGUAACUGACGCUGAGGCUCGAAAGCGUGGGGAGCAAACAGGAUUAGAUACCCUAGUAGUC